AGUCUCAAAGCAAGAAGCCAUGGGCUGCUUGCAGGCCAAUGGUUUCUGGCUUUAGAGACGACAACAGGUAUGAGGAAGCAAGGCGGCAGCCUGGAUUCCGAAUACCUGUUAGGAUUCCGGGAGUGCGCAGCACGGAGGAAUCCGUGG
rnacentral:sRNA from 1 species